CCAGCAGACCCCAUGUGGAUUUGUGACACUGCCUCCGUCUCCAGUCUGUCCUCAUCACUGCAGCUAGAUCAUCUUCCUAAAUCAAAGAUAUCUGAUCAUGUCACUCCUCCCGGCAAACGUUCUGUAGCAUCUAUAAGAUUUUGACUUUAAGCGAAAGAAGCUGAGACUCAGAGAAGAUAAAUCACCAACCCACGGAAUUCUCACUCUAUAAAUACUGAGGGUACGCUCCCGAGCAUCACAAGGCUCCCGACCACUGCACUGUUCUACAUGCAGGGCUCUGCCCGGCCCUUUAAAAACCACAGGCUGACUUCCAAUUUGGACAAACCUCUAGCUCCAAAUCCAAACCUUGUCACGGAGGUCCUCAAUGUAGAGGAAUUACUCUUUCGACCGUACAGCAUUAAAAAUCCCUGGAUCUCCGGGAGGAUGGAAGCCUACCUCAUCCCCUAGAGCUGAUUGGUUUAUUUGGGCCAAGUAACCAUAUUCCCCCUGGCCUGUGAUUCGUUCGGGAAUGGGCAUGUGACUUGGUUCUGGCCAAUGGGGUGUAGCGGGGGGACAGCCGCG